UACGGAGGGGGCUAGCGUUGUUCGGAAUUACUGGGCGUAAAGCGCGCGUAGGCGGACCUGCAAGUCGGGGGUGAAAGCCCGAGGCUCAACCUCGGAACUGCCUUCGAUACUGCGGGUCUCGAGUCCGGGAGAGGUGAGUGGAAUUCCUAGUGUAGAGGUGAAAUUCGUAGAUAUUAGGAAGAACACCAGUGGCGAAGGCGGCUCAGCUGGCCCGGUACUGACGCGUGAGGCGCGAAAGCGUGGGGAGCAAAACAGG
rnacentral:rRNA from 1 species